rnacentral:rRNA from 1 species
UACGGAGGGUGCAAACGUUGCUCGGAAUCAUUGGGCGUAAAGCGCACGUAGGCGGUCGGCUAUGUCGGAUGUGAAAGCCUCGGGCUUAACCCGAGAAGGGCAUCCGAAACUGGCCGGCUUGAGUACGGAAGAGGGUCUCGGAAUUCCCGGUGUAGAGGUGAAAUUCGUAGAUAUCGGGAGGAACACCAGUGGCGAAGGCGGAGACCUGGGCCGAUACUGACGCUGAGGAGCGAAAGCGUGGGGAGCGAACAGG